rnacentral:lncRNA from 1 species
ACACAGUUGUUGUCGCAACAGAAUGGCUAUUGACCAAGAAUACUAAGUAAUCUUUACAUUAAGUGGGGUCACUUAGAAAAUAUAACUUAUAUCACAUCGGCCAGCCAAUACCUAUGGAAAAUGGUACAACUUCAGCUAGUGAGAAUGGCAGUCUCUGUGAUGGACCAUUCAGACAGAUUUUGUUUCCUGAUUCCACAACCCACUAUUCUCAUUGGCAAAGAUCAACUUGUUUCUCCUAUUCCCUAAAAUAUCACAAACAAAAGGAAAAUAGUUUUUGGCUGGAUAGAUUUAUAUAUAUAUAUAUAUAUAUAAAUAUAUAUAUACAUCUUCAAUCCUGUGUAGUCAUGAUGUCACUAAAACUGAAAAUAUAUCGAUUAAUUUACAUAAUUAUUAAACGUUUCCAUUUUUAUUCCAAGAAUUUCAUAAAAUCCUAUUUAAUAUAAGCAAUCUGAUGGAAUUCUUGAUAACUUAACCUUUGCCUCUUUGGAAAAUAUUUUCCUUAUCUUUAAAUAUUUCUAAUAUUAUUUUCUAAAGAAAAAACAAACUAAAAACUCUUAAAUGUUACAGAUGCUGAUGAUCCAUUUGCUCUUUCAAGUAUUUAGAUAAGCUUUUUUUUUUUCCUGUAUUUCUUUAUUUAGUCAAACUUAAUGAUAACAGUAAAGCAAUCUAUGUAGCAUACAUAUAUAUAUAUAUAUAUAUAUAUAUUAAUUAGUUUUCAUUCUUUCUUUGACUAGUUUCAUAUUCUAAGGUUUUAUGGGAGGGAAUGUCCUUUUUUAUUAAUUAAUUCCGCUUAAUUAAACGAAUUCAUCAAAUUCUUUUUCCGUAGCUCUGACAACAUAUUUUGUUGGCGGUAGCACUUGUUAUUUAUACAAUAGUUGAUGAUUCUAAGAGUUUAUCAAUUGAUUAAUAUUUCAUUUGGGAUAAAAAAAAAUAAAUUUUGUUUUUAUGAAUUUGCUUCAUCUCUUAAAACAUCAGGCAUAAAUGACAAUAACCAUUAUUUCAAUUUGUUAUGUAGUGUUUAAUUGAAUUUUUUGCAGAGUUUACACGAGUUAUUCAUUGUCUAAUGAAAUCUCUUCAUUAAUUAUUAUUAUUAAUAAUAAUAUUAUUAUUAUUAUUGUAUGAAUCACUAUUUUCAUAUACAUUGUUAACUCAGCAUAAUUUUUCAUCAGCUUUGAGUGUCUUAAUUUGGAACUGUUUACCAUCUUGGGUAUGUCACUGUUUAACUACGAGAAUGUUGAGCCUUCAACUAAUUAUAAACUCGUUUAAAAUGCUUCAAGCCUAUUCUAUGCUUAUGGCUACUAAUUUCUCUCUGAAUGGAAAUUAAAAAAAACAUGUUUAUGUAUCUAAAAAUUCCAACUAUUUAAAAUAUUUAUGUAAAAGAAAUAUAUAGCAUUUUACUUCAAUUUCAAUUGAAAAGAAAUAGAUGAUUUGCACAAAAAAUUUCCCUGCAGCAACAUUACUUAUGGACUAUACGGAAUAUUAAAAGAAAAACAUUUUUUAACCAUUUGAUGUGGUAUGCUUUUUGAGAUUGUCCAUAACUCUUUUUGUCUAAAAGUAGGUGCUCUUAGAUAAAUACAGUUAUUUUUUAUAAUUAUUUGUGUUUAAUGUCAAGUUUCCAAUUUAGCUACAAAUAAUGAAUACAGAAAUGUAUUAUGCCAUUAUUUUUUGUUAUUGCGUUCUGUUCCAUAAUGUAGAUAAUUUAAAAUACCAACUCAACAAUCUAGCGAAACAGCCCAAUAUUAUAUGGAUAUAUAUAUUAAGUGCUGCCGUGUUAGUUGUGAAGCUUAAGAGGCCAUUGUUACAAGCAUAAUGUUAGUUGAUAUCUUUGCAGUUGUUGACCUUCAACUGUUUCAGAAUAUUCUAUAAUUGUCACUGAUUUGCUUCAGAAUUUUCUUAAUGCCAAAGAUAAAAUAAAGAUUGGCCAAUUAAAAGUUGGUGUUUAGUGGGAGUUAUAUUAUUCUUACUCUAAUCAAAGCAAAACUUCACUUAAGUUUUCUAUGAUUAUAAAAUAUUCAUUUUUUUUAUUCCUUUAUUAAUAAUUAUUUAUAUUCACUGUUGAUUUUUAAAAUUGAUGCAUAAUUGAGUUCAAUUAUCAAGUUGAAGAUAAUAAUUCAUUUUAAAUUGGACAGUAGAAAUCAAUAGGUCUCCUUCUGUUCAAUUGUUUAGUUUCUCUUGACAGUUUUACCAUCGAAGCUGAAUUAACUUUUUUUUUCAACUUGGAUGGUUGCUGCAGUCUCUAAAGUUUUUACAAAAGAUUGUAUUUACUUUGCAGACUAAACUCAAGUGUGAAAUUCUUAUCUAACAUAUGAGAAUUAAUGUAUGGCCUGAAAUAAUAACUGCUGAAUCCUGUUGUUGCUAUUUCACCAUAAAUUCCUUUGUAUAUAUAUAUGUAUACUACUGAGUUGAUAAAUUCAACUGUUUGCCAUACUUUAGUUCACCUACCAGUAAGAUAAUAGCAUUUGAAGGUAAUCAACUAUUUAAGGUAACACGAUAUUUUUGAGAAAUUUCAACUCAAUGCAAAUUUACUUGAAAAUUUAUUGUGCGGAUAACCUUCAGUGCUAUGUUUUACUGAAGCUGAAUGAAUUGUGGGUUUAGUCUUCUGGUUGACAAUGGAGUCAAUGUAUUGCUCAACAAAAAUCAAAAGAACUCUCUGAGGUUAGUUCAAAUAUAGUAUAUAUAUACAUACACACAAUUCUAUAAUAGUUUCAAAAGAAAUAAGGUUUUAUUGUAUGCAAAAAUGCACAUCUCUAAGGUUAAGUAUUUCUACAAUCCCACCCAACUCCAUGCUGUUGUAUCUGUUUAUGAUCUUUCUUGUAUUUUGCUCUCUUUGUAAAAAAAAAAAAUAAGCAAAAAAUAAAAACUUUGUCUGGAAAUAAAUAAAUUUUUUAUUUUAUUUUAUUUUACUUUAAACUUCCUAAUCACAAAAAAAAAAACAAACCCACCACCUUCUCUUGUCAAGAUCAUUUUCUCUUGAUAUAAGAUAGGAAGGAAUAUAGUUUUACAAGAUGCCCUUCUUACUACAUCCAACCUUCCUAUCAGGUAAUUUCUUCAAUGAUGUAAAGGUACAUAAAGACUGGUAACAAUUUCUGAUGUUACAAGGUUUUUUGGGGAGAGUCUUCUUUUUUUUUUUCUGUAAACCACUCUUUAUUCUAAAACUUCAAAUCAGGGAUAAAUUUGUUUAAUCAGUAUGGUAUUUUUAGUCAAUUACUUUUCUCUCUAGAUUAGAAAAAUAAAAAACUCGUACAUCACAGCUAUUUAUCUAUUCUCUGAUUUUCAUAGUGCUCUCACACCUUUAUACAAUCACUGUAGUAACACUGCUGGCUGGGUGGACAAAAAUGUCAAAAUAAUGUAAUGUGGGACAUCCAUUUUAGUUUUGAAUUUUAUACACAUUCAGCUGAAGGAACAAAACUGUAAUUUUAAAUAGUAUUUCAAUUUUAAGUGCCUUUUUCAUUAUUGUUUAUUCAAAAGUGCUGGAAUAAAAGAAAUGGCAGUAUUGUACUAAAUGCUUCUGAGCUUGACAUAACCUCUUAUCUAUGUAUACAGAUAAAUAUACUGAUAUUGAUUCUGACAAUUAUACCUCUGCAAUACAAAUAUGUGGCCUUUUUUAUAGUUUAUUCAGUGAACUUGCAUUGAAAAUUACCUAAACACUAAAUAUAUAUAUAUAUAUAAUACACACACAGUCAUCUUGAAAGAAAUAGACACCACCAUUUUUGAAAGAUACAUUUCUAGAAACAAAAUAUUUUAUGCAUUUUAAAUACUUAAUCUUGUAUUUAGUAGACAUUCCUUGUGCAGUUUUUAAUGGAUUAAUCCAUUUUGGGCAUCACAUUGAAUUCAGAAAUUGUUUUCUGUAGUUUCUAUCCAAACAGCACACAUCCAGUUGAACAAAUCUGCCUUUCAUAUUGGUUUUUGUGGGAGGUUUUCCCACUAUUCUGCCAAGUUGCCCCAAAAGUAUUCAAUGGAGUUCAUAUCAGGAGACUGGCUUGGCCUAAGAGUUCUUUUGAUUCUAUUUUUUUCUCUUGCCAGUUACUGGUCUUUUAAACUAUGUGGCAUGAAGUGCCAUCCUCCAUAAAUAAAGUGUCAUUUUUUUACCAACUGACCAUUGAA